UCGAGAAUCUUUAGCAAUGGACGAAAGUCUGACUAUGCGACGCCGCGUGAGGGAUGAAGGUUUUCGGAUCGUAAACCUCUUUCGAAGGGAAAGAAAAUAUUCCGAAUAAUAUUCGGAAGACUGACGGUACCCUGAGAAGAAGCCACGGCCAACUCCGUGCCAGCAGCCGCGGUAAUACGGGGGUGGCAAGCGUUACUCGGAUUCAUUGGGUGUAAAGGGCAGGUAGGUGGCCUAAUAAGUAGAAGGUGAAAUCCCGUUGCUCAACAGCGGAACUGCCUUCUAAACUAUUGGGCUUGAGAUUGGGAGAGGAGAAUGGAAUUCCCGGUGUAAGGGUGAAAUCUGUAGAUAUCGGGAGGAACACCAGUGGCGAAAGCGAUUCUCUAGUCCAAUUCUGACACUGAACUGCGAAAGCUAGGGGAGCAAACAGG
rnacentral:rRNA from 1 species